CCUCGGGGAUCUGCUGGGGGCUGAUGAAGUGGAUGUGGCAGUCGAUGGCCCCGGCGGUGAGGAUAAGGCCCUCGCCGGCCACCACUUCGGUGGUCACGCCGGCCACCAUGCCGGGCGUGACGCCGGGCAUGAUGUGCGGGUUGCCGGCCUUGCCGAUGCCCACGAUGCGCCCGGCUUUCACCCCCACGUCGGCCUUGUAGAUGCCGGUGUAAUCAAGCACCAGCGCGUUGGUAAUGAGCAGGUCCAGCGCGUCGGCCUGGCCGAUGCCGGCGGCCUGGCCCAUGCCGUCGCGCAG
rfam:Hymenobacter sp. PAMC26628, complete genome.